AAACAGCCCAGACCACCAGUUAAGGUCCCCAAAUAUAUGGUAAGUGGAAAAGGAAGUGGGGUGGCUUAGACAACCAGGAUGUUGGCUUAGAAGCAGCCCCCAUUGAAAGAGUGCGUAAUAGCUCACUGGUCGAGUGACCCCGCGCCGAAAAUGUACCGGGGCUAAACAUAUUACCGAAACUGUGGAUGAACCUCUUUAGAGGUUCGUGGUAGGAGAGCGUUCUAAGGGCGGUGAAGUCAGACCGGAAGGACUGGUGGAGCGCUUAGAAGUGAGAAUGCCGGUAUGAGUAGCGAAAGAAGGGUGAGAAUCCCUUCCACCGAAUAUCUAAGGUUUCCUGAGGAAGGCUCGUCCGCUCAGGGUUAGUCGGGACCUAAGCCGAGGCCGAUAGGCGUAGGCGAUGGACAACAGGUAGAGAUUCCUGUACCAGUGCUAAUUGUUUAACCGAUGGGGUGACACAGAAGGAUAGGGAAUCGCACGAAUGGAAAUGUGCGUCCAAGCAGUGAGUGUGAGAAGUAGACAAAUCCGCUUCUCGCGAAGCAUGAGCUGUGAUGGGGAAGGAAAUUAAGUACGGAAGUUCCUGAUUUCACGCUGUCAAGAAAAGCCUCUAGGAAGAGUAGUACUGCCCGUACCGCAAACCGACACAGGUAGAUGAGGAGAGAAUCCUAAGGUGAGCGAGAGAACUCUCGUUAAGGAACUCGGCAAAAUGACCCCGUAACUUCGGGAGAAGGGGUGCUCUAUUAGGGUGCAAGCCCGAGAGAGCCGCAGUGAAUAGGCCCAGGCGACUGUUUAGCAAAAACACAGGUCUCUGCAAAACCGUAAGGUGACGUAUAGGGGCUGACGCCUGCCCGGUGCUGGAAGGUUAAGAGGAGUGCUUAGCUUCGGCGAAGGUACGAAUUGAAGCCCCAGUAAACGGCGGCCGUAACUAUAACGGUCCUAAGGUAGCGAAAUUCCUUGUCGGGUAAGUUCCGACCCGCACGAAAGGCGCAACGAUCUGGGCACUGUCUCAACGAGAGACUCGGUGAAAUUAUAGUACCUGUGAAGAUGCAGGUUACCCGGGGAAGGAGGGAAAGACCCGGGGGCGCUUUACUGCACCCUGAAAUGGAAUGUUUGUACCGCUUGUACAGGAUAGGUGGGGGCCGAAGAGACGUGUGCGCUAGCAUCCGAGGAGGCAAUGGUGGGAUACUACCCGGGCUGUAUGACCAUUCUAACCCGCCACGCUUAGCGCGUGGGGAGA
rnacentral:rRNA from 1 species